UUUCAGCCUCACGCCCGUGGGGUUGGGCAGGCGUAAUGGGGGACACCUGCUCGAAGAAAAGCGGUC
rnacentral:ncRNA from 1 species